AGGGAGAUGGAUCCAUGAUAGCUGAACUCCGUUCCACAAGACGAAAUGCCAAAAUAUUCGAAAAAAUCUCCAAGGGCAUGAAGGACAGAGG